rnacentral:rRNA from 1 species
AUUGAACGCUGGCGGCAUGCCUUACACAUGCAAGUCGAACGGUAACAGGUUAAGCUGCCGAGUGGCGAACGGGUGAGUAAUGUAUCGGAACGUGCCCAGUCGUGGGGGAUAACUGCUCGAAAGAGCAGCUAAUACCGCAUACGACCUGAGGGUGAAAGCGGGGGAUCGCAAGACCUCGCGCGAUUGGAGCGGCCGAUAUCAGAUUAGGUAGUUGGUGAGGUAAAGGCUCACCAAGCCGACGAUCUGUAGCUGGUCUGAGAGGACGACGAGCCACACUGGGACUGAGACACGGCCCAGACUCCUACGGGAGGCAGCAGUGGGGAAUUUUGGACAAUGGGCGCAAGCCUGAUCCAGCCAUGCCGCGUGCGGGAAGAAGGCCUUCGGGUUGUAAACCGCUUUUGUCAGGGAAGAAAAGGUUCUGGCUAAUACCUGGGACUCAUGACGGUACCUGAAGAAUAAGCACCGGCUAACUACGUG